GGCCAGUUAGCUCAGUUAGUUGAGUGUGGCGCUAACAAUGCCAAGGUCGCGGGUUUGAUUCCUGUUUGGUCU
rnacentral:tRNA from 1 species